UCCAAUCGCAGCUCCAGUGCUGGUGACAGG
rnacentral:piRNA from 1 species